rnacentral:rRNA from 1 species
AGAGGGUGCGAGCGUUAAUCGGAAUUACUGGGCGUAAAGCGCGCGUAGGUGGAUAUUUAAGUUGGAUGUGAAAUACCCGGGCUCAACCUGGGAUGGUCAUCCGAAACUGGGUAUCUAGAGUACAGUAGAGGGGAGUGGAAUUUCCGGUGUAGCGGUGAAAUGCGUAGAUAUCGGAAGGAACACCAGUGGCGAAGGCGGCUCCCUGGACUGAUACUGACACUGAGGUGCGAAAGCGUGGGUAGCGAACAGGGAUUAGAUACCCUGGUAGUCCACGCCGUAAACGAUGAGAACUAGCUGUUAGUGCUGUUAUGGCAUUAGUGGCGCAGCAAACGCGUUAAGUUCUCCGCCUGGGAGUACGGCCGCAAGGCUA